AUGUAUUCAAUCUGAUAAAGAGUAGAAAGAGCAUGGUCUGUUUUUAUUUACUUGGGUCUUUUAGGACAAAGCUUUUAUCGUCGUCGAUAGGUGUCAAUCAAAAACAAGUUCCCCUGAUUAGUUGUUCGUUAAAUUUAGUAUACUCGUACAAUGUGACUGUUUUCGCGGGCCCUUUGCCAGGGUAGAUUUCGCCGAUCGACGAACUCCCAAAGUAUUCGUCACGGUGAAAUCACAACGAGCCAAGGUGCGAUGUUCUAACUUCUUUCUAUCGCUUCGUUCUCACGUGUCUUUUUAUAUUGAAAGGGAACAAUAUUUAAAUGAAACCGCAUUUCGCAAGAACGCAAAUAAAAUCAAAGUGCAGACAUAAGUGUUAAUUAUUUACAAAAGCAAUCGAAUGACGACAAUGGAUUUGCCUGAGCGCAUCACAUUCCGCGCUAAAAGGAAGGUUUUGUGGAACAUACGGAGAACGUUAUUUUGGGAUUAGAGUACUAUCGCGGAAAGGAAGGUUUGAAGACGCUAUGUAUAAGAUCUUAAAUUUCAACCUGUAUAGGUAAUAGCUUUUCACAAUUUAUAUAAAUUGUGAAUAAAUAGAAAAUUCAUUAAAGAUUAGCAUAAUAAUGAUUCAAUUACACAAUUGAAUCCUUAUAAAUAAUAUCAGAAUAAUAUGAUGACUCUUCUGAAAAGAAUAUUUUAAACAUACAACUUUUAUGUUAUGAGAAAAGGGUUUAUUCUAUUACAAUUUAACAAAAUACAAAUUUUAAAAUGAUUAAAUGAUCGUUAAAAAUGAUUUGGGCACAGCAUAUGGAAAAAUUAUCAAGAUAUUAUAUACAAA